rnacentral:ncRNA from 1 species
AGAACAACCUUGAACGGGAAGAGUAGGAAGGUAUGACCUUCAGAGAGCGGAAUUGCAUCAUGCGCUGAGAGAUUCCGCAGGAACCAGCCAACCGAAGUCGCCCCGGAGUUGCGAACUUGAGCCAGUGAUACCGCGUUUUUGGUAUGGUUAGGGUUUGCCGGCAGCAGCCGUUAUUUUGCGUAAAGUGUCGCACUUGACCUUCUCUGUUCAACAUCGAAAUAGAAGGGCGGUUGAUGAGCAGCCGCAAGUGUGAAACAAAGGUGGUACCGCGAGAGAACAGUCUUUCGUCCUUUGA